rnacentral:lncRNA from 1 species
CAGGGGCUGGGGUCGGCGGUGGGACGUUGGCGUUGCCGGCGUCCGGUGCGCAAGCUUCCGUCAUUCCGUACCGUGCGGCUACAGCCAUGCCGCGCCCGUCGUCUCUGCCAUCGUCGUCGUCGUCCAGAGGCGAGGGAAGCGCGGAAGCCGCGGCCGCCAGCGCGCCGGUGCCUCCCACCCACCGGGGACCCGAUGUUGUGCCGCCAAGCGGUUGAAAGCGGACGGGUAUGCACAGUGGGCGACUCGCCGGCAGCGUCGGCGACCCGAUGUGACCGGCGCCUCCGUCGUUGCGACUGCCCGCUGUGUACAUGGGGGCGUUGUACCUGAUCUACCGCGCACUCGGCGUGUAGCGCGUACGUGCAGCGCGCGGCCCUUUUGCCUAGAUGGGACCACAGAGAUAUUUAUGUGCGCCUUAUCCGUCGCCUUUGGUUUUUUCUGCGCGCCCUCCUUUUUUGCCUUGUCUGUUGGUCGCCGUCUUUUCUCUGUCGUCCUUCAGUCUCUUCUUUUUUUUUCUCAGACUGUCGCAGUGGGCGCUUGUGCUUUU